UUUUUAAUUAUGAUAAUUUAACAACAAUAUUAAUAUUUUUGUUUAUUCUAACAAUUAUAAUUUGUACUUUCACAGGCUCAAACCAAAAUGGAUUGUUUUUCCGGGGUCUGAAGAGGCUCGACAAGAAGUGGCAGGAGGAUUCAAGCAGAAGUUUGGUGUGCCAAAUGUAAUUGGUGCCAUUGAUUGCACACAUGUGUCAUUGUUCCCACCACCUGGGUUGACCAAAAUUCAAUGUAAGAACCGACAUGAUUACAUGUCAAUCAAUGUGCAACUGGUCUGUGAUGCAGACUGCCGGAUGCUCAAUUGCAAUGCAAAUUAUCCAGGCCGGGUCCAUGACCAAUUUAUUUUUAAUAACUCGGUAAUAAAUGAUGAGAUGAGGAGGCUAUAUACCAACAGGAUUGGUGACUAUUUUCUAUUGGGAGAUGCUGGCUAUGCGUUGGAGCCAUGGCUCAUGACUCCAUUAACCAGUCCCUGCUUCACACAAAUCAUAAGACUUGAUGCCGAAACGGGCCGCCUUGAGUUGAUUACAUUGUUUGAAACUAAGGCGGCCUUUCCACAGAAGCAGGGACUCGUCCAGACUGAUGAACCGCUGAGGAGUAUAGAGUAAGUGAGCAUAAAAAAUUUAGAAAUGUCUAAAAAAAAUAUUGUGCCUGCGCUGCCAGUGGCCCGCACGCCGGGUGGAACACUGAGGGGAUGAGGCUGCUGACGGCGUGCUGGAUCUGGAAGACUGCGGAUAUGGCAGCCGGCAGCGACACCAGAGACACCUCUCCUGCGGUAUCCUGGUGGCACCCCGCGUGCGGGACCAUCCAUCCCGCGGGCAGGACGUCGUCGGUCUCGUCGUGCGCUGCCUUUGCGUGACCAGCAGAUAGCAGAAAUGCUGGCUGGUCACAACUCCGGCAGCGACGACGAGUUCGGUGAAGUCUAUAGUGAAGGCGAAGAAGAAGAAGAUGAAGUCGGCUGUGGAAGAGAGCCCACCGAUUCCCAACUUCUCGCCGUGGCGAGACGACUACGGUCUAUAAUAAUUGAUAAGGAGGAGUUAGGCGAGACUGAGGCGGAACUUUACGUAGAAGAACAUCAGGAGGUAGGACUCCUCGAAGGAUUGGGAAUAAGUGAAGAUACCUUCACUUAUUCAUGAGAUGUUGGGACAUGUUGGAAAAUAUGGGGUCUGAGAAUAUGGUGGGAGAGGCA